rnacentral:tRNA from 1 species
GCCCUGGUAGUUCAAUGGAUAGAACAAGGCUUUCCUAAAGCUUAGAUAGCAGUUCGACUCUGCUCCGGGGUA